AAUAGCAUAUCAAUAAGCGGAGGAAAAGAAACCAACAGGGAUUGCCCUAGUAACGGCGAGUGAAGCGGCAACAGCUCAAAUUUGAAAUCUGGCUCUUUUAGAGUCCGAGUUGUAAUUUGCAGAGGGCGCUUUGGCUUUGGCAGCGGUCCAAGUUCCUUGGAACAGGACGUCACAGAGGGUGAGAAUCCCGUACGUGGUCGCUGGCUAUUGCCGUGUAAAGCCCCUUCGACGAGUCGAGUUGUUUGGGAAUGCAGCUCUAAAUGGGAGGUACAUUUCUUCUAAAGCUAAAUAUUGGCCAGAGACCGAUAGCGCACAAGUAGAGUGAUCGAAAGAUGAAAAGCACUUUGGAAAGAGAGUCAAACAGCACGUGAAAUUGUUGAAAGGGAAGCGCUUGCAGCCAGACUUGCUUACAGUUGCUCAUCCGGGUUUCUACCCGGUGCACUCUUCUGUAGGCAGGCCAGCAUCAGUUUGGGCGGUAGGAUAAAGGUCUCUGUCACGUACCUCCUUUCGGGGAGGCCUUAUAGGGGAGACGACAUACUACCAGCCUGGACUGAGGUCCGCGCAUCUGCUAGGAUGCUGGCGUAAUGGCUGUAAGCGGCCCGUCUUGAAACACGGACCAAGGAGUCUAACAUCUAUGCGAGUGUUUGGGUGUCAAGCCCGAGCGCGUAAUGAAAGUGAACGGAGGUGGGAACCCGCAAGGGUGCACCAUCGACCGAUCCUGAUGUCUUCGGAAGGAUUUGAGUAAGAGCAUGGCUGUUGGGACCCGAAAGAUGGUGAACUAUGCUUGAAUAGGGUGAAGCCAGAGGAAACUCUGGUGGAGGCUCGCAGCGGUUCUGACGUGCAAAUCGAUCGUCAAAUUUGGGCAUAGGGGCGAAAGACUAAUCGAACUAUCUAGUAGCUGGUUCUGCA
rnacentral:rRNA from 1 species